GACGAACGCUGGCGGCGUGCUUAACACAUGCAAGUCGAACGGAAAGGCCCUGCUUUUGUGGGUUUCUCGAGUGGCGAACGGGUGAGUAACACGUGAGUAACCUGCCCUUGACUUUGGGAUAACUUCAGGAAACUGGGGCUAAUACCGGAUAGGAGCUCCUGCUCCAUGGUGGGGGUUGGAAAGUUUCGGCGGUUGGGGAUGGACUCGCGGCUUAUCAGCUUGUUGGUGGGGUUGUGGCUUACCAAGGCUUUGACGGGUAGGCGGCCUGGGAGGGUGACCGGCGACAUUGGGACUAAGGUACGGCCCAGACUCCUACGGGAGGCAGCAGUGGGGAAUAUUGCGCGAUGGGUGGAAGCCUGAUGCAGCAACGCCGCGUGCGGGAUGACGGCCUUCGGGUUGUAAACCGCUUUCGCAUGUGACGAAGCGUGAGUGACGGUAAUGAGUAAAGAAGCACCGGCUAACUACGUG
rnacentral:rRNA from 1 species